rnacentral:misc_RNA from 1 species
UGGUUCUGGCAUCGAUGAAGAACGCAGCGAAAUGCGAUAAGUAAUGUGAAUUGCAGAAUUCAGUGAAUCAUCGAAUCUUUGAACGCACAUUGCGCCUCUUGGUAUUCCUUGAGGCAUGCCUGUUCGAGCGUCGUUAAGGUCAUAAGGCUUUGCCUUGCGUUGGACUAGUCCGGCACCUGCCAGGCAGGGUCGGAGGUCCCAAAACGAUUGGCGUUGAAGUCUGCCAGUGUUGCACCCUCGUGCUGCAUCUAGAAGAUGGAGAUAGCCCCCAGCUCAAAACAAGAUCAAUAUGGUCGACCUCGGAUCAGGCAAGACUACCCGCUGA